GUAACUUAAUACAAGUACCUACACUUUUCUGAGAAUAAAAAAACAUGUACCAAAUAACUACAAUGGGUUCUUAUUUUAUUAAGCAUACUACAAUAGUGUUAAAUCUUAAUUUUAUCUUCAGACUUUUGUUGCAGAAAUUAAUUUUUUUUGUAUUUAUUUGAAAAUUUGAUUUGAAAUCAGUAAAAGUAGUUUUUGUAAUGAUGUUUUAUAGUUUAAUAACAAAUUACUUAAAACCACAUAAUUUUAAUAUAAAUGUAUUUCCUAUGUAUUUCAUUUUAACUAGACUAGACACCUGUAAUGCAGAAUCAACCAGUCUCUCAAUCCUGGAGCUGUUUGUCCAGCAGUGAAGACCCAAGACCAGACUUCAGAGUAAACAGGAACUCUCCUGCAGUCUUCCUGAACCUCCUUGAUCAGGAUCGGUGACAUCGAUCAUCCUCCUGCAGGUGCUGGAGCUGCAUCACACCUCUGUACCUCAUGUUGUCACAGCGUGUGCCAUCCUCCACAACAUCUGCCUCUGUGUUGACGACACCGAGGCCCCAUAGGAAGAUGUGGAGGUGAUGAUGAGGACGCUGGUUUGGAGGUCACCAGCGGUGCUCUCUGGCAGGAUCAACUACCGGCUGAGGUUACUGCCCUGGGGGAGGUGCCACCUUGAUUACUGGUAACAGGUAAUUAAAUAAUCAAGAGAUUUUUUUUUCCAAGUUUUUUUUUCUUUUUCCAAAGCCUGUAAAUUCAUUAUCUCAUAUUUAUGGAUCAUUUUUGGUCAUGCAGCAUCCGUCCACAGCCAGCCCUGCAAACCCUGAAGAUGAACGAUGCAGUCUACAGUGAAGAUGAUCCUGAAGCUCUCUGCAGACCACCUUGCAAGAUGUUCAAUCAUCACCCAGAAAGUUCCAGCCCGGGUCUCAGUCUUAGCCCCCCCCAUCCAUGUCGACUAUCUUUGUAAAUGGUUGGAAAUAAAAGUUACAAUUAAUCCAUGACAAUCACUGUGUUUGAUUUAGAUCUUUAUUUAAAUUAACAAAACAAAAACAAACAUUUUUAAUAUAUCCAAUAUAAACGUCAUUUAUUUAUUCUCAGACAUCUAAGGAUUUUAACGGCAAUUUUUUCCAGCAGACUAAAGUUGUUCAAAAGUUUCCCUCCUCUCUCGUGCGCUCUGCUCUUCUGCCUCAUGUCCUCUCUGCUUAGGUCUAGAAGCUCAUCACUGUUUCUUCUUAUUUUUCUCCUUCCAGCCGGUGGCUCACUCCUUCCUUCUCUUUCUUCACUCUCCUCUCUUUCACCCACUGCUGUACUUCUCCAGCAGAUCCAUUUUCUC